rnacentral:rRNA from 1 species
UACAGAGGUGGCAAGCGUUGUUCGGAAUUACUGGGCGUAAAGGGCGCGUAGGCGGUCUUGUAAGUCUUGUGUGAAAUCCCUCGGCUCAACUGAGGAACUGCACGGGAUACUGCGAGACUUGAGUUCGGGAGAGGGAAGCGGAAUUCCGGGUGUAGCGGUGAAAUGCGUAGAUAUCUGGAGGAACACCGGUGGCGAAGGCGGCGAUCCUGGACCGAGAUUGACGCUGAGGCGCGAAAGCUGAGGGGAGCAAACGGGG